rnacentral:lncRNA from 1 species
GUAGAAUUUUCUACUGGGUCUCCAGAGUAAGCCUUGCUCAACCAGACUGCCUUUCACUGUCCAACAGUGGGGAGCGGUAGUAGGGAAGCCUCAUCAUGGGUCCUGCUGAGCCAACCUGUCCCACCACACCACACCCCAUACUGCGUUCUGUGUGGCUAUCACACAGCAUAUCCUUGGUUUUAUAAAACACAUCACCCAGCGCUCUUGCUGUCUCUGUGUUUACAGGGCUUGGAUUACAGCACCAUUUGUAUGUGGGUACUCAGGGUGAAAACUCUGAUCUUCAUGCUUAACAUGCCAAGCACUCUGCCCAGUGAGAGCCACUUCCCCAGCCCAAGGAUGUUGCUUCUAAUGAGGCCCUUCUGUAACCACCGGAGCAACCUGGAGGAGAAUCACUCACAGUGCAGAAGGGGCGAUUUUCAUGAAAAAUGGAAAUAAUUGCUACACCAACUCAAGAAAUCAUCUUUAUUUCACUCAGAGCUGUCACAUUUGCUUGUAAGAUAAGAUUGUUUUAAAUGGAACGAAAUCCCACAAAGCUGUCUGCGGGAAGAAAGACUGACAUGCAGUAAGGAGAGGAAGCUGCAUUUCUGAUUGAAAUCAAAACAUUGAGUAUAUAUUUUGCUAGCCUUGAAAACCGUUUCAACAAGUAACAGCACAAAACUUCAACUCUCUCUCUUCCUCCCUGGGACUUCUCCAGGCACUAAGACUAACUCUUGCAAUGCUGAGAAAGCUAAUAGAGACCGUGAACAGAGUGCUGGCUUGUACUUCUUAUGAAACAAAGGACAAAAAAUACAUUUCCAUUCCAGAGUUCCAUGGGAUCUGUCCUGGAAACCCACAUUCAUUUAAAUGCUUGUGAGCAUCAGCUUGUCAACAUUUUGCUUUGUCUAUUUAUUGUGAACAUGGAAUAUAGCUAGUUCUCAG